rnacentral:sRNA from 1 species
UAAGGAACUCAGACAAUGCUUGGCGCUC